rnacentral:lncRNA from 1 species
AACGCAUUAGAUAUUUACCUAAACCAGUAGGUCCUUAAGCGGAUCCCACGUUAGCCCCAAGACGUUGGUCUCUAACUAGAUUAGUAAAUGCUUGAGCUUGAGAAGCUACUGGUCCAGUAGGUCCGUAAAAUUCACUAGGAUAAGCGGUAUUAUUGAACCAGAUAAAACAACAAGCAAUGAAACCAAAGACGGAUAAAGCACCUAAACUAUAAGAUAAAAAGAAAACGUAGAGAGAACCAGACAAAACAACAAGCAAUGAAACCAAAGACGGAUAAAGCCCCUAAACUAUAAGAUAAGUAAGCCUCUCCAGACCAUACAAGUGCGCAUCGAGCCCAUGCGAAGGGUUUGGUUAAUAAA